GCGUUAGUGGUGUAAUGGUAUCAUGCAAGAUUCCCAUUCUUGCGACCCGGGUUCGAUUCCCGGCUAGCGCA
rnacentral:tRNA from 1 species